UACGUAGGGCGCAAGCGUUGUCCGGAAUUAUUGGGCGUAAAGAGCUCGUAGGCGGUCUGUCACGUCUGCCGUGAAAACCCGAGGCUCAACCUCGGGCCUGCAGUGGGUACGGGCUGACUAGAGUGCGGUAGGGGAGACUGGAAUUCCUGGUGUAGCGGUGGAAUGCGCAGAUAUCAGGAGGAACACCGAUGGCGAAGGCAGGUCUCUGGGCCGCAACUGACGCUGAGGAGCGAAAGCAUGGGGAGCGAACAGG
rnacentral:rRNA from 1 species